rnacentral:rRNA from 1 species
GACGAACGCUGGCGGCGUGCCUAAUACAUGCAAGUAGAACGCUGAAGGAGGAGCUUGCUUCUCCGGAUGAGUUGCGAACGGGUGAGUAACGCGUAGGUAACCUGCCUGGUAGCGGGGGAUAACUAUUGGAAACGAUAGCUAAUACCGCAUAACAGUAGAUAUUGCAUGAUAUCUGCUUGAAAGGUGCAAUUGCAUCACUACCAGAUGGACCUGCGUUGUAUUAGCUAGUUGGUGAGGUAACGGCUCACCAAGGCGACGAUACAUAGCCGACCUGAGAGGGUGAUCGGCCACACUGGGACUGAGACACGGCCCAGACUCCUACGGGAGGCAGCAGUAGGGAAUCUUCGGCAAUGGACGGAAGUCUGGCCGAGCAACGCCGCGUGAGUGAAGAAGGUUUUCGGAUCGUAAAGCUCUGUUGUAAGAGAAGAACGAGUGUGAGAGUGGAAAGUUCACACUGUGACGGUAUCUUACCAGAAAGGGACGGCUAACUACGUG